AGCCAUGUGGAUGGCCUGGAGGAAGCAGCUGAAAGCAAACAAGCAGUGGGUCUGGGUUGUUUCCAAGAACUGUCUAGGUCACCUCCUUAUCUGUGAUUUAUAUAUCUUGUGAAUAGGCUGCUCGACUAUCUGGAUGAGAGGACUCACCGCCUUGGAAUUAAAUCUGGGAAAUGCUUUUGGAAAAACAGAAGAUGUGCUGGAUGAGGAUAGUGUUGUCCCUCCGGCCUGGCAGCUUUUGGCGUCAGUUUUCAAGCCCUGAAUCACGCUCUGGGGAUGCGCGCUGGAAAGCUGAUGGGAACCGAUUGCCUAUCAGCAGCUGAGAUGCAACUCAUGGCUUCGCUCUUCUUGGGAAUCACAGUGUGCAGACCUGGACAGCAUCAAGUGCAUAGCGUCACCGCUGAAAUUAUCCGUGAGAUAUUUAAUGCUGAAGUGGAGGAGAAAGCUGAAAAACUGGGAGAACAACUGUUUGAAAACUGGAAAUCCUCGGAGAAAGGAGCUGGUGCCCAUGCCUGAGCAAGCUCCCUUCCUGCCAGCUCAACCUGUACAAGCAAGCAGAUUUCAUUUCAGAUUGGUGCCACCGAGGUGAACAUCUGCCUUAGCUGAUGAGGAUUGCUGCACACCAGGGAGCCUGCCUGUGCCCAACAGCAAUCUGCCUGUCCCGUUCCCUAUUAAUGCAGCACUCUGUGGGAAGCCAUUUAUUGAUGCCGUUACACCCUUGUUUUCGCCAGGAUGGGAGACCAGAGAAAUAGGAAACAUGAGAGUGAAAGCUGUCACUAGGAUAGUGGGGCUGCCCACUUUUAACAUACAGCUCACAGAUCUGGGGUCUGCCUUGAUAUCCCAGCUCGUGGGGAGUCUCCAGUCCUCCUGGGGAAGGAUUCAGAGUGCAAUCGUGUGAGAGGUUUGGGGGCUGAAGAAAAUGCUGAAGAAUCAUAUCUGAAAUAGGAGAGCUUUUUACACAUCAGGCUGCAGAUGAACAUGAACAACCUCGGGGAAAAUUCAGGCAAAAGCUGUUUCGCUUCGGCAGGCCAAAACCCAUCCAGCACUUUCCAGCACUGGUCAGAUGUAGCAGCAAGAGCAAAGGGCAAAUGCAAAUGGCAUUUGCAGCCUUUCUUCUGGCCUGGCUCAAAAACCUCUGCCCUGAUCCACCAGCCCUGGCUGGCCCAUUGCCAGAGGGUGGGAGCCCCGAGAGAUGGAGAUGGGUGGUUGUUGAAGGACUGGUGCAGCGAGGCUGCGUGGGCUCAGGGGAAUUUCUGUUAUUCUUGAGCUGCCCAGGUCAGCUGGGUGUUAUCUCGGAGCCGCUUGGUCAACAGACUCUGUGAGCUGGGUCCAACAGAAACUGCUAGUCCGGGAAAUCCCAGCUGGUGUAUGGCACAGUGCAGGCUUGGGAGACUUCAGCAGCAACCUGAAAAUUAAGGAAAAGCUGAUACUGAUAGUGAAAUCAUGGAAAUAACAAAAUAGAUAUCUCACUUCUGCAUUACUUAGUGACUCUAGAGAUAGCUGACAAAGACAUUACAUAUAUAUAUGUGUAUAUAUAUAUAUAUAUAAACUAGAGCACUUAUACACACUCUUUUCAGAAGCCGCUGUGCCUGCUAGGAACACUGGCAGUAGUCACUCUCCAUUACAGUCAUUAUCAAAAGCACGUCUCGAAGCUGCCAGUGAAGCUGUUUUUUCUUUGUGCUUCUGUUAAUGAGGCUGGUUUUGGCCUUGGGUAUAAUUUCACUCACUGUGUGUGGUUUCCUUUUCUGUCCCAGGAGGGAAAUGGGGAGUUGCUGUUUGGUGGGCAGUACUGGGGCACCCACCUGCAGGACAAAGAGACAGUCCUGCUCCAAAAUCCUGCAGUCUGAGUCGGUGCUUGCACACUUGUGAUGGGCUUUCUCCCUGGUGAUGCACGCACAGAGGUUAGGUUAGCCCGAGAGAGGCAGAGUUGUUGUCCUUUCUGUGCCCUGAGAGGGAUGCUGGCGAAUACCAAGGCAUUAAGACAAGCCUCAGUUGCAUGUACCAGCCCGAUGGCCUUCCUAGGACUGAGUUCCCCUGAGCUCUUCCAGAAUCCUUUUGGAGAUGGCUGGAGGAACCUGUGGGGCAUGCUAGCAUCCUGGGCGCUGGCCCAGGGCCUGCUGUCGCUCCUCUCGGCCUCUUCUUCAUGUUUUCCUACAAACUGAUGGAAGGCUUGUAAAAACACAGUCCUGGGACUUUCAUGUUAAACCCAGCCACACCUUCGCUUCUUCCAGUGACUUCACUCCAGCUGAGCUCAGCUCAGGCCACAGCAAGUGCUGCAGAAAGCUCCCUGGCUUUGCUGAAAGAAAAGGCAAAGCGGGCCGGUGAGGGGCCAAGUGUCACCUCCUCGCGUCUUAGUCCAGCAAGCUGGUUCCGCGUGGGGACCCAGAACAUCCAUGUCACCCCGCUCCUAGCUCAUGCCCUGCCUAACUGGACAUCUUUCUCUCUGCUAUCGCUUCCUUUGACCAUGGAGGCUGAACUGGGGGAAGGUUUCUUGCCUUGCUUGGAUGGUCAUCGCACCAUCAGCAGCACCGUGCUCCUGCUCCGGAUGCAGCCAAGUCGUGCCUCUCACCAUCCACCUCCCACACUUUGGUUUUCCCUUUUGGUAUCGACCUGGCUGCCAGUCAUCUGAAGGAGUUAUGUAGCGGUCUGAUAUUGCCUGGUCCUUACCAUGAUUAAGCCGUGUCACCUCUUCCACCUCGUUGACAGAGGGCAGGGUUUGUGUGGGUCCUGUGGCCCGGCCAGCCACGGGGCAGGACGUCCCUGUGCACGCUCGGGGCUGCGCAGAGCUGUAACAGCAAAUAGCUCCCACUCAAGUUGUCUGAAACUGUAAUUUUGCAAGACUGGAAGUAUCUGGCAAAAAAGUAGAUACAUAAAUGGAUCAAUUGUUUUACUUUUGGUUUUGUUUUGGUUUGGUUUGGUUUUGUGUGAAUAUUUUGUACCAGACAAAUAGACCACUUAAUAAAAACAUUCAUCUCAAAAGAAAAAGCAGUGAAAAAAAUCAAUUGAACCAUCAGGUCCUAUAAAAGCAGUUAGUACAUAAGGUAUUAGUGCUUUAAAACAAGGACUUGACAUUGCUGCACUGCACCAGGAUGGUGGAGGGUGGCAAAGCACGAGGCAGGGAUUUUUAUACCUCUCCAAAAGCCUCGUGGCAGACGAGGAAAGAAUAGCAUCCUCUUUUGUGGAGAGCAGAGAGGCUGCCUAUGUGGGUCUAAGUGGAGGUACAGAGCCGUGUGGAGGAGAGGCCAUGUGCUUAGAUCAAUCUGGAUUUAGAAGUCUCGCUUUUUGCUCUUUUCCUUCUCUUUUUGUCCCCUCUCUGAGCACAAGAGACUGAUCCUCCACAACCAGUGUCAGCAAGGGUUGUGGCAUCCUGCACCAGCAGAAAGGCAAAGGGAAACACAAAAAUCCCAACGCGUGAGCACUAUCGUUAUUGCCUUCUCUUGGUAAGACAAACUGUUAAAAGCCUUAAAUGAAAGACAUCUCUAGGGAGCGGCUUUCAGCCAGCAUA